GACGAACGCUGGCGGCGUGCUUAACACAUGCAAGUCGAACGGAAAGGCCCUGCUUUUGUGGGGUGCUCGAGUGGCGAACGGGUGAGUAACACGUGAGUAACCUGCCCUUGACUUUGGGAUAACUUCAGGAAACUGGGGCUAAUGCCGGAUAGGAGCUCCUGCUGCAUGGUGGGGGUUGGAAAGUUUCGGCGGUUGGGGAUGGACUCGCGGCUUAUCAGCUUGUUGGUGGGGUAGUGGCUUACCAAGGCUUUGACGGGUAGCCGGCCUGAGAGGGUGACCGGCCACAUUGGGACUGAGGUACGGCCCAGACUCCUACGGGAGGCAGCAGUGGGGAAUAUUGCACAAUGGGCGGAAGCCUGAUGCAGCAACGCCGCGUGCGGGAUGACGGCCUUCGGGUUGUAAACCGCUUUCGCCUGUGACGAAGCGUGAGUGACGGUAAUGGGUAAAGAAGCACCGGCUAACUACGUG
rnacentral:rRNA from 1 species